rnacentral:lncRNA from 1 species
CCCCUCUGCCCCGCCCACCCCCCCUAUAUAAGCCGGGUGCUCCCCAGGGUGCUCCAGGUCCCGCUGGGUGUUGCUGGUGGCAGGAUGGGGACACACGGUGGUGGUGGGGGCGUCAUCUUGGCCAGGCUUUGCUCCACACCAGCUCCGUGUUCCCGGGGUGGGGGGACCCAGGGGACCCCCCCCCAUAGCCCCCCACCUGCCCUGGGGACCCACAGAGCGAUGGGGAAACUGAGGCACGGCUCACCUGCGGGGCCAAGGAGCGAGGCCACCCCCAUGGCGCGGUGCCCAAAACCUUCGCUUUGUCCCCGUGGGCAUCCCACAAUGCUCACCCCUAAAAAAUAACCCCACAGAGGGACACAGGGGGGACCUGGGGGGCCGCGGCCACGGGGUGAAGGUCGGGUGAAGGGCGCCGGCGGCACGUGGAGGGGCGGUGGCGGAGCCGGCGGGGCGGGGGAUAAUGCAGCGAGACGUGCCAGCUGUACCCGGAGAAAGGCAAAUAAUUCAGCAGCACCAACCGGAGAGGAACCAGCCCUCGGAGCCACGUGCCAAAAUACCAGCAGUAAAGUAGUUAAAUUAAUCCAGCGCGCGAGCGAGGGAGCCUGCGAGAGCCGGCUUGGGCCCCAAUCCAAAGGAGUUAAUGUCCCACAGUAUGAUCGAUUAGUUGUCAGAUGUGAUUUCAAACCAAUACAAGAUGAAUAGCAUAAUUUUCCUUCUCUCAUUUUAGACAGAAUUAAGAAUCCAUUAGCUAACACAAAUUUUUGGCAACUUUAAUAAAAAGCUCCAAUAUACAUUUGUAGCAAACGCUCCCCGAGGUCCCCGCCGGGAUGCAGCCGGCCUCCUUCCCUCCCUCCCUCCCUCCCUUCCAGCCGCUGGGGGGGCUCAGCCUCGACCCCCGGCCUCCGCCACCGGGAGGGUGCCAACGGCACGAGGCCGAUGCCCACCGGCGGGGGUCUUCCCUUGGCAUUGGGUUGGGGUGCCCCAACCGGACCCCAGCCCGGCGAGGCCGCGGUGCCAUGGAUGUGAUGAGCCUGGGGGGGGAGGGGGGGGGUCUCGGUGGCGGGGGCUUUGUGCCGGGGCGGCCGCGCGGGGACUCGUCAAGGACAAAACCGAGCUCAAGCUGCUGCUGCCCGCGUGCCCGCAGGCGCGGGGCCGCCGUGCCAGCCCAGCCGUGGCCAUUACGGCUGCGCGCGCCAGCUGCGGCCGCACGAUCCCGCGUCCCCGGGGAGGCCAGGGGGGGCCGGGCACCGUGCCACCACCAGGGCUGCCACCGCCACCACCGCCCUCCCCGGCGGUGCCAGGCACGGGGGGCUCCGGGGUUGGGCGGGCGGUGGGGAGAGGGGAUUUGGGAGCUGUGGGUGAGGAUGAGGGUGCGCCAAAGGUGCCGCCGUGGGGGCUCGUUGAGGUUUGGGGUGAGCCAAGGUGGGGAGGGGGCUUCAUCCUGCCCCACGCCUGAAUCCUCUCCCCAAGCAUCCCCAAAACACCCGGUGAUGGAGCUGAUGUAGAUCUUGCCAUGGGUGACCCGAGGGUGCCCCGGCCUCAUUGCUCGGCCCCAUGGACAAGGGGGAGCACUGGGCUUGGAGUGGUGACCCCACGGAGCACCCAUGGGUGCUGAGGUCCUGGCACCAAACAGCCCCCACUGCCAGGGGCUUGGGGCCCGGCGGGAGCCCAAGGGCAGAGCUCGGCCGCGGGCACCCCUCCUCCUGCCCUCGCUGCUGGAUCUCCGGAUUUUAGGCACCAAAUGGGGUUGAAUUAGGAUUAUUAUCACAGCUGUUCUAAAUGUAAUUAGUUUUGCUCUGAACUUGUUUGCUUUGCCGGGAUUACGGCACAAUCCAGCCGAUCCGCCCGGCGCUAACUUGAGAAAGGCUUUAAUUACUCUAAUAAAGAGGAUGCCGGGUUAAUUUGAUGAUUCCAAAGGUGUGUUUUUCAAUUACAUUUAACAAAAAGAUUUAUAGUCGGGUAAAAUUUAAUUAGGAGCGUGCGGGAGGGCCAGGCCAGCCGGGAGGCUGCUCACUGCGGGGCAGCGGCGCGGGGGCUGCGGGACCUUGGCCCAGCCCUGGCGGUGCCACCGUGUCCCCCGCAGCCACCGGGGUCUGUCCGGGGGCACCGUGUCCGUCUGUCCUGCCCCGUGUCCGUCUGUCCUGCCCUAUUUCCAGGCCCUCUCUGCCCAACCCAAGGAUGGGAUCGGGUCAGGGCUUUGCCGUGAUGCCGCAGAGCCCCACCGUGUGCCAUCCACACUGCUGUCCCCCCCCCAGCCCCGUGGCCCAGGUGGGUGUUUGGGGGUGUUGGGGCCCCUCCGUCGCCGCGCCGGGUGCGCGGAGGCAUCAAGCGGAGCCGCUGUCUCCUCGCUGUCAGGAUCCGAUCAAAGCAGAUGGGAUCCAGCUGUGAGCACCAGCAUGAGGAACAGGCUGCCCGAGCCGGGCGGGAGGAGAGGGGACGGAGCCGAGAGGGUGCGGGGAGGUGGUGGUGGGGGGGGGACACGGGCGCUGCUGCCCACCCGCCGCAGACCUCGGGCGAGCCCGGCCGCGGUGGAGCUGCCAAGAGAAAUGGGCAGAUUAUGGGAGGGACGCAGGCCAAGGCAGGGCUGCGAUGCAGCCGCCGUAAAUCAGCUUUUAAGUAGCAACAAAAUGGACAUUUCCCAUAUGAGAAGUGCCACCGCCUGCCACGGGGAGGGGGGGGGCGAGGGCAGCGAGCCUGGGGGGG